GAAAACUAAAUAGGAAUGUGAACAUGCAAACCUACUGGCUAGCACUGAGGGAGACCUGGAAAGGUGAAGUUCAUUUCCUCAUUGCACAAAGUUGUUGAGAGAAGAUAAAUGAUAUAAUGCCUGUAAAAGUGCUCAGAGAUCUUACAGAAAGAAGCCUGAUUUAAAUUUUUCAAGAUAAUUUCUGAAAAAGUUGAGAAUCUGAUGAACCCAUACGCAGCUAAAUGGGUGAAGACUGAUACAUGAGAUUUCCUCAAUAUGGCACUGCUCUCUUGAGAAGAACAAAGUCUGAGACUACAGAUAGGAAGGGCCUGUGUGAAUUUCUACUGCUGAGGAGCUACAGCAAAAAACAAAAAUCGGUUGCAUUGGACAUGAUAAGAUGUAACAAUAAACAUGGAACAGAGUGGCCCCAGGGAGAAAAUUGCAUUUUGAGCAGCUCUUACUGGACUCACUAAUGGUAUAUGAGGAGGCUACUCAAGAUGUCCAGUGGAGCCGUCCAUACCGUGGAGAGCUAAGUCUUCCUGCAAACAGCCAGCACCGACUUGCCAACUAUGUACUUAUGUAUGUGCCACACAUACAUGCUUUUCAAAGGCCAACCGUCUCUACAACUAUGAGAACACAUGGGAAUGAAGGAAAACACAGCCUGUCAAAGAAGGCAAGAAACACUGCCAAGAUUAUUUCCUUUUGUGUUGAUGACCUGUUUGAUUUUAAUGAAGCUAGUAGUAAAUGAAUAUAUGGCAAUAUAUGAAGAAAGAAUACAUAGAAGGAUAAAAUUAGAAAUCUUUUCUCUUUGCCCCCGGUAUCAGCAGUUUUCGAUAUACCCUCUGGUAUACAUUUCUAAGUGUG